GAGAGAGCCAUUGAGCAGUGGAAGUGAUAGAGUAUAUCAGUCAAAGAAAGAACCAAAAGGCAGAGGGAAAGAGUGUGAGAGAACUACUAUGCUCUGUCCCACUCCCUGAAUGUCUUCCCCUUCUCUACAGCCCAGAGAGAGAGAGAGAGAGCAAGAGCAAGAGAGACUACCUUUCCUUACUCUGGACUCUACUGCUCCACCAUGGCACCUGUCACAGACAGAGAGACACGGACCUAGGAGCGCUACAGUACCAGGAACACACAGAGUACAAAGGACUGGGAAUACUCACCACGACUGGAAGAAGCUUUUUCCUUUAACAAGUGUGACGAGAAAGAGAUACUGCUCUCCCGGGAACAGGCCCAGAUCCCCGUCACUUGCGUGAAGAAAAGACGGAGGAAAAGAGGACGCAGAUCAGGCUGCCUUUGGAGAAUCCGUAGGCGAGCGAGUAAACUCCCAAUGCCAUCAAUUCUACUUGCUAAAAUGCAAUCAUUGGAAAAUAAAAUGGAUGACCUACGAUUAUCCUACCAACGGGACAUUAAGAACUGUAAUAUCCUAUGUUUCACAGAGUCGUGGCUGAACGACGAAACGGACAAUAUAGAGCUGGAGGGAUUUUCCAUGCACCAGCAGAACAGAGAAGCUACGUCUGGUAAGAUGAGGGGUGGGGGUGUGUGUUUUUUUGUCAAUAACAGCUGGUGCGUGAUGUCUAAUAUUAAAGAAGUCUCGAGGUAUUGCUUACCUGAGGUAGAGCACCUAAUGAUAAGCUCUAGACCACACUAUCUACAUUAUUCAUAGCCGUCUAUUUACCACCACAGACCGAUGCUGGCACUAAGAACGCACUCAACCAACUCUAUAAGGCCAUAAGCAAACAAGAAAAUGCUCACCCAGAAGCGGUGCUCCUACUGGCCGGGGACUUUAAUGCAGGCAAACUUAAAUCAGUUUUACCAAAUUUUACCAGCAUGUCACAUGUGCAACCAGAGUAAAAAAAAUCUCUAGACCACCUUUACUCCACUCACAGAGAUGCAUACAAAGCUCUCCCCGCCCUCCAUUUGGCAAAUCCGACC
rnacentral:lncRNA from 1 species